rnacentral:lncRNA from 13 species
AUGGAACAUUAUUACGCGUCAGACUGUAAUUACAUUAUGGAACAUGAUUGUUCUACAUUGGAUGCUAAUAUGAAUGAAGGUUUUUCAGGGGUCUCCAUGCCCCGUCAGCAAGGGCUCUGUCUACCCGGGGUAAGUGGCUGGGCAGUUGGCGUAACUAACAGCUAACACACGACUGAACUCCAGGUCUCCCAUGCCAGUGUGUCUAGUGUUCAAUUCACUAACUGUAUGGGCUGUCUGGUGUCAGCAGUGGGAUCUGACGGUCAGUCAACAGAAUAUUGGUGUUGCUGAGAUUGGGACAUGAUGGUGCUUUUACUGUGUGGUAACAGAGUGCUAGAAUGUCGCUGGGAAUAGAUGUUGUUGUGUUUAAACAUUGAAUUGUGUGGUGUGAAUUGACACACACACACACACACACUCGUGACAACACUCAUUAGUAAUGAGAUUUUUAUACACCAUGCAAAAGUAAACACAACAUGCAACAAUUUUAAAGAUUUUACUGCACCCUCGUCGCCACCCCCUCCUUCCCUAUUUCUCGUUGUCCAUCUCCAUCUUCUCCCAUCCUUUUCUCUACCAUCCCUGGCUCUCUGCUCUCUCCUUCAUUCCCUCCUGUCUCUUCUCUCAGAGACUCUUACCUGCUGUCCCUCUCCUCUCUGCUCUCCAGUGAUUACAUCAUAGAGGAGAAGAAUGCUAUGCUGCAGAAGAAAGAAAACGAAGGAUUCGGCUUCGUCCUACGGGGAGCCAAAGGUAAACAAACAUGUCAGAAAGGGCAGUAGUUGAUAGAGUUUGGUAUAAGGGUUUUGGCAUGGAUGGUAGUCGGGGCACAACUGGGGGCUGACCCUGCCCCCUCCCCCAUAACAGCAGGGUCAGCCUCUAGUUGUCAACUGUGUCUGCGCUGAGCCUGCUGGCAGGGCAAACCCCGGCUAUAAGCCAACCAUUGUGAAGGAAGCCUGGAGGGUGCAGUUGAUGGAUAGGCCAGCAACCCAGUCGUAGACCAAAGUUGACCUGGCCCGCCAUUGUGCAGCGUGUCUAGCGGGUGACUCGCUGUGGCAGUUUAAUGGCUUCUCAACUACUGCCUGUUUGUCAGCCAGAAGUACAAAGGCGUGAAGAUGGAUGCUGUUUAAAUACUUUGACGGUGGUUGAUGAAGCAAUUGGAUUCAGGUGAGUGA